rnacentral:rRNA from 1 species
UGCCAGCCGCCGCGGUAAUACGGAGGGUGCAAGCGUUGUCCGGAUUUAUUGGGUUUAAAGGGUGCGUAGGCGGUCUAUUAAGUCAGUGGUGAAAGUCUGCGGCUCAACCGUAGAAGUGCCAUUGAAACUGGUAGACUUGAGUACCGUUGAGGUAUGCGGAAUUUAUGGUGUAGCGGUGAAAUGCAUAGAUACCAUAAAGAACACCGAUAGCGAAGGCAGCAUACUAAUCGGUAACUGACGCUGAGGCACGAAAGCAUGGGGAGCGAACAGGAUUAGAUA